GCAGCCUCCAGAGUUCUCUCUUACUGGAAGCAGAAUCUGUAAAUAAUUCCUCUUGGAUUUCCUCCAAGGCAGACACAGGGAAGGCAUUGUUCCGCGUAUAGCAGUGGGCUGAAAAGUUUCACCUUGGGGAUUAUACACUGAAAAUAACGGAUGUCCUUUUCAUCAAGUUGAAACAUAACUUGUUUAAACACCCUUUUACCUACAUGAGACCCAGAGUGCUGCUCAGUGUCUGGGGCCAGGUGUCCUUGAACUCUUUGUGAGAUAGCACAAACCUUAAGUCAUUAAUUAAUUAAUCUUUUGCUUGUUUUUGUUUUUUCUUUUUGGAAAGUGGUUCUCAUGUAGCCCAGGCUGGCCUCAAACUCAAGAUACAGCUGGGUCUGGCUUUGAACCUCUGAUUCUCUUGCCUCUGUCUCCGAAGAGAUAAGAACACAGGCCUGUGUCCAGUGCCCAGUUAUGACAGGUUUUGUUAUUUGUUUUUCUUUUCUUGAUUGAGGCAGUUUUGUAAUCCAGGUUGGCCUGAACUUAUAUAUGGUCAAGGCUGGAUAAGAAUUUGGGGCAGCCUUGGCCUCCAGAAUGUUGGAAUGACACUGGUGAGCCACCGCGCAUGCCUAGGAGAUCUCUUUCUGAUUUUUCCUGUUUAACAAAAGAGCUGGUGUUUGAAAGAAGACACAACAGUGGAAGCCUAGGAUGCAAGGCAGAGAACGCUGUGGGGGACUCAGCGGGCAUAGGAUCCAUGGUGUGAGAUUGACCUGUGUAACCAUUUGUACGUGUUGUUGUGACAUUGGUGUGCUCAUGGUGUUGUGUAGCUGUAACCCUGACCGCCUUCCACUGAGAAGCUGUGCCUGUGUGGUUAGUGCCUUUCCGUCAUAGUCUUAUUUAUUGUAUGUCUUUCCUAAAACCCAAUUCUUGUUUUGGUUUGGUUUGGUUUGAAUUUGAGACAGGGUUUCUCUGUAUAGCCCUAGCUGUCCUGGAGCUCACUCUGUAGACCAGGCUGGCCUCAAACUCAGAAAUCCACCUGCCUCUGCCUCCCAAGUGCUGGAAUUAAAGGCGUGCACCACCACUGCCCAGCUCAAAACCCAAUUCUUAAUUAUUCUAUAAUGUUUAUAAAUGAAAGUCCCUCAAUUAUUUUAUGCUUGUUACACCCAAGGCACAUAGUAGUAAUUAGGACAUCUGUCCCAGGUCACCAUCCUGGCUGCUAUAGAAAGGGGUUGGUGACAUCCUUGAGCCUUGGUGCAUAGGCCCUGGAGGCUUGUGGGUCUUGCCUGGGCCAACACAGUCUGCAUGGCAUCUACCACACUCUGACCCUGCUUGGUGGCCAAUCAGCUUCCUCCUUUUUAAGGCAACACUCUCGUAGGCUAGUGUUUAUUCCUAGUAACCUCCUUUGUUCUUUUUUUUAGGACUGCAGGAAUACGUGGAGGCUGUCUCUUUUCAACACUUCAUCAAAACUCGUUCAUUGAUCAGUAUGGAAGAGAUUAACAAGCAGUUGACAUUUACAGCAGAAGACAGUGGGAAAGAGAGCAAGACUGUGAGAAUUUAAAAUCAUGUUUCCGUUGUUUUGUAUGAUUUAUACAGCAGCAUAAUGAUUGGUGGAGGCUCUGCCUUCCGGAAGCUGGGUGUGCUAGGUCUCCCCAGGGACGCUAGGUCUAAGUGUCUCCACUGGUGACAGAGAGGAAGUCAGCACACUGCAUCUGAGGGUUUAGAACUUGGUCUGUGCACUUGGUAUCCCCAGUGCUGCUUGGGGUACAGGGAGGAGCCCUGGGCGUGUCUGUCUACCUCAAAGGACUUGAUGGAAGAGUUUGACUUAGAAAGGUUUUUAAUGAAGCAGUGCUUGCUUAACUGAGUUCAGUGUUAAAGUGGCUGUCACAUGGCGAGAGCCAGUUUAUCACUUACACAGCGUGCUUACAGACAGCUGCCCAGCUCUUCUGAAUUGAGGAGAGAAACCCCAUUGCAUUUUGGCUUUUAAGAAGUACUUCUUUCCCCUUUUGGAUUUGAAAAUAUGACAUUCAGAGAACUAGGUGGGCUUUUGAUCCCUUCUCUGACAUAUAUUAGGAUAAAUACUAUUUUUCAAUUUUCUCCUUUUAUUAAUUUUUGAAAAUAUGAAUUGGGGUCAGGAUAGGCAGACAGAGAAACUGUUAGAAGUCAAGAUGACACGAAUGUGAAAUAAAAUGUUAGAUUUGCCAAAAAGCUUGACUUGGCAUGACAGGAAACCCUCCUCUAGUGUGUCUAUGUCUGCCCGGCUUUUGCCUUGUUCUCCACUUUGUCAGGGGCCAACUGAGACACAGGCAAUCAUGGCUUUGGCCCACUUACCUGGUCACAGUGGAAUCACAGAAGUGGCCAGCUGCGCCCUGCUGCAUGCAAGCAGCUCCCCUCGAGUUCAUGGAGAGAGACAGUGGGGAGAAAGCAGGUUGAGUGUUUGCUGUCUCAGGACGUUGGAGAUUACGACCCAGAUGCACCCCUCACAUAAGCUGAGCCUGUGCUCACCCCUCACAUAAGCUGAGCCUGUGUUCACCCCUCACAUAAGCUGAGCCUGUGUUCACCCCUCACAUAAGCUGAGCCUGUGCUCACCCCUCACAUAAGCUGAGCCUGUGCUCACCCCUCACAUAAGCUGAGCCUGUGUUCACAAAGAACUCCCCUUUAGCACUAGGUUCUUAGUGCUGAAAAUACUGAGAAUUUGAUAAAGAAAUUUUCCUUUUAACUUGGCUUGUGAGAAUAUUGCCAAAAUCAUUUUAAUAAACACUGUGCCAAUUUCAGCCAUAGGAAAGUAGAGGGGCUGAUACCUGGUGACACAUUAGCUUGUGUGCCAGGACUUGGAUAGCGUUCCUUGUGAGAGCACAUUAAUGUGUCACCCUCCUAAACACGCAAGUGGCCAUCUCAAAAUUUAUACUCUAAGCAAUUGUUUAGCCGGGCCUGGUGGCGCACGCCUUUAAUCCCAGCACUCGGGAGGCAGAGGCAGGCGGAUUUCUGAGUUUGAGGCCAGCCUGGUCUACAAAGUGAAUUCCAAGUCAGCCAGGGCUACACAGAGAAACCCUGUCUCGGAAAAAAAAAACAACC
rnacentral:lncRNA from 1 species